rnacentral:rRNA from 1 species
UACGUAGGGGGCUAGCGUUGUCCGGAAUCAUUGGGCGUAAAGAGCGCGUAGGCGGCCAGAUAAGUCCGGUGUGAAAGUCAAAGGCUCAACCUUUGAAUGCCGCUGGAAACUGUCUGGCUAGAGUCCGGGAGGGGCGAGUGGAAUUCCUGGUGUAGCGGUGAAAUGCGCAGAUAUCAGGAGGAACACCGAUGGCGAAGGCAGGUCUCUGGGCCACUACUGACGCUGAGAAGCGAAAGCAUGGGGAGCGAACAGGAUUAGAACCUACGGUAGUCA